CUUGUACGUACGCGUACUACAGCUGUAUUGCGCUUGUAGCCUGUCAUUUUUCUGAAGCUUUAAGGUUGCAGGUUAACCGUAAAGUAUUUAUCUAAGAUCUUUAAAAGAUUGUUGAUGCUGUGAUCUCAAGGGCACCGAUUUAUCCCCUUCGUGUUUUCUCCAUUCAACGUGACGUUGACGAAAUCAUCUGUGCUACUUUACAAUGGUUGAAAGCCAAAAAAAUUAAAUACACUGCAUUAUAGCACACAAAAAUUGUUAUCAGGUAUUUAUAAACGGUUUACACUCAAAGCCACUCAAAAUUUAUAACGCUUUACACUGGAUGGCCCUCUGUAGGAUUUUUUCCGAAAAGACACGCAAUACGCCCGUAUGGAACCUUAACCAAUAUCAAAA
rnacentral:misc_RNA from 1 species